AGAGCACCUAUUAUGGGAUACACGUUUUUAAACAUCCUUUUGUGUGUAAGUGUGCAUUAGUACAUGCUAACGAUAUUCAAAAAGUACAUACCUCAAAGAAAACGAUGACGCGAGUUAUCGUCUCUAACGUUCGAGGACUACAAAAAACACUCGGAUUGUAGGCAACAGUUUACUUCCUGGGAUUAGUGACGUAGAUAAGACCAACAUUAUCAUAGUUCAGCCCUCUCUGCUUUGCUUGGGUACGCCCUCAAAGACGAGGGUGGGGAGCGCCGAGUCAGAAGAGAGCUAAAAUGGCGGAGGUUGUGAGUCCCUGCUUUGACUCUGUUUGCAAACUCUUGUUUCAUUGUUUAAGCGAUUAAAUCUCUCGAGUAGACGCUGUCUCUUUAGAUGCGAGGGCAAAAUAGCACUUUAUGGACUUCCACAGAGGACAUCAUGUUUAAUACGGUUCCGGAAAAAUCCAGUCAGAAGUUGUUCACGGAGUUUUCACAAUAACUGCUUCUCAUGAACCGAAGCUGGAUUUGCGCGACGUCUCCUCUUGAAAGUUGGAUUACUGUGCACUUCUGGAUCACAGACUAUUCGCAGCUGGACACAUCCUUCUACACUGUAUGCAAACAUGCAACAUCAUUACACACAGUACAAGGAGUCAGACUGGCAUAUGAGGAGCAAAGGAACCCAGGCAGUAGCAUCGUUUCACAAUGUUUCCAUCAUCAUCAUCAGUGGAUGCCUUUGCCGUCCGUAGCCUGAGAUUUCAGAUUUGCAGCAAAAAAAAUUGAUUUUCUCAUUUAUUGGAAUGCUGUGCAGGUAUUUGUACCUUGCAGCCAUCCAUUACAAUGUCACCAAGCCGUAACAAAAGCAGGAGAGGAAAAGUACAAGGCUAUGUUCCCAAAACACACAAGUGACAUACCUUAUGUGGAUGAUGUGAUCAGGCUUGUGUUUGAUGAGGUAUUUGAAGAUAAGCUGAAGAAAACCCCGAUUCCAAUGGACCUGGCAUCACAGUUUGAGAGACCUUCAAAGGAGGACGUGAUUGCAUGCCAUCUUCAGUGCAG